UGACGGUACUGAAGUGAAGACGGAGAAGGCGAAGGAAUUGCUGCAGCCUGCAAGUCACCUCUGAGGAAUCGCAAUCCCUGUCACACCAACUUCCUCCUCUCACGCCUCACCCAACAUUCUGUUUAUGCCGGCAGUUCAUCCUCGGAGGCAUCCCAGUGGAUCAAGUCGAACCCAGUCUCGUUGUUUGUACCUUCAAAGUCCCUCCCCGUCUCACUGAAAAGUUGCCGAUAUAAUGGGGAAAUCAUUCAGAAUAAUGAGUAAUCUCCUAAUCCUUAAUGAAUUUUGGCUGUAGGUACAAGUCUCUUAUGGGACAGGAGUUACUGCUUUUGCAAUUUUAUUUUAUUUUUUGGGUUCCCUGAAAUUAUUUUAUGAAAAUAUUUGAGAAUCUGAAACAUAUUGGGCUCGCUUCUACAGGACAGAACUGGGAAGUUGGCUAACGCCUAACGGUGCAAUAGCUAACCCUGUAGAUGAACUUGGAGGUGCCGUAGCUCAUUUGGAAGGUCUCCCCUUGGAUGUUUCUGUUGACAUGUCCAUUUCUUAUCUCUCAAAUGCCCAUGUUAAUGCAAGAAUUUGCUGGAAACUUACUUUUGGUAUAUGUGCCUUUCAAUUUGAGGUCAGGUUUUACUCU